CGGUGGAUGCCUUGGCACUAGAAGCCGAUGAAGGACGUUACUAACGACGAUAUGCUUUGGGUAGCUGUAAGUAAGCGUUGAUCCAGAGAUUUCCGAAUGGGGGAACCCAGCAUGAGUUAUUUCAUGUUAUCGACAUGUGAAUUUAUAGCAUGUCAGAAGGCAGACCCGGAGAACUGAAACAUCUUAGUACCCGGAGUAAGAGAAAGAAAAAUCGAUUCCCUGAGUAGCGGCGAGCGAAACGG
rnacentral:rRNA from 1 species